GAUGAACGCUGGCGGCGUGCCUAAUACAUGCAAGUCGAGCGAACAGACGAGGAGCUUGCUCCUCUGACGUUAGCGGCGGACGGGUGAGUAACACGUGGAUAACCUACCUAUAAGACUGGGAUAACUUCGGGAAACCGGAGCUAAUACCGGAUAAUAUAUUGAACCGCAUGGUUCAAUAGUGAAAGACGGUUUUGCUGUCACCUAUAGAUGGAUCCGCGCCGCAUUAGCUAGUUGGUAAGGUAACGGCUUACCAAGGCAACGAUGCGUAGCUGACCUGAGAGGGUGAUCGGCCACACUGGAACUGAGACACGGUCCAGACUCCUACGGGAGGCAGCAGUAGGGAAUCUUCCGCAAUGGGCGAAAGCCUGACGGAGCAACGCCGCGUGAGUGAUGAAGGUCUUCGGAUCGUAAAACUCUGUUAUUAGGGAAGAACAAAUGUGUAAGUAACUAUGCACGUCUUGACGGUACCUAAUCAGAAAGCCACGGCUAACUACGUG
rnacentral:rRNA from 1 species